AAUGAACGUUGGCGGCGUGGAUUAGGCAUGCAAGUCGAGCGCUCAUAGCAAUAUGGGAGCGGCGAACGGCGUAGUAAUAUGUAGGAACGUACCCUCGGGUCGGGAUAGCCAUGGGAAACUGUGGGUAAUACCCGAUAAUCUCUGCGGAGCAAAGGUGUGAUUCCGCCUGAGGAGCGGCCUACACGAUAUUAGCUAGUUGGUAGGGUAAUGGCCUACCAAGGCUACGAUGUCUAGGGGGUGUGAGAGCAUGGCCCCCCACGACCGGAACUGAGAUACUGUCCGGACACCUACGGGUGGCUGCAGUCGAGAAUCUUCCGCAAUGGACGAAAGUCUGACGGAGCGACGCCGCGUGCGGGAUGAAGGCCCUGGUUGUAAACCGCUGUCAGAGGGGAUGAAAUCUUCGGAGGUGCUCCUCCAAAGUUGCAGAGCCUCAAAGGAAGCACGGGCUAAGUACGUGCCAGCAGCCGCGG
rnacentral:rRNA from 1 species